AAAAGCUCUCACUAUUCUACCGUCAAUGUACUUAGACAUUAUUAACUGCAACCUGUUGGCAACCCGGUGAAAACGAAUAGUUUGUAUUUAAAAUUUGAGCGCUUUGCCGUUUUUCCACCAUUACUGUACUGCAGUUCCAGGACAAUUCUUUUCAAUUCGCAUUCUACUUGAGGCAGCUGACCCCUAGAUUAGCGGACACUAUGAGUCAAAAAAGAAAAAACGAUCCGAAUAACUGCGAGAUUUGCUAUUUCCGAGACUCGACGCCUCGCUGUAAUAUGGAUAAUCAUGUGGUUGCUCAGAUUAAAAACAACCUCAUGCAUUGCGUAUUUUGCGAUGGCUUUUUUCGUGACAAGAGGGCAUUUGCCAAACAUAUGCAUAAAGUCCAUUUCCCAGACGUGAUAUCAGUGGAAUUUGAGAAGGAGGAAUGAUUCCUAGUUCAUCAUUCAUUUUGUAUUUCUCUUAAAUUUUUAUCAUGUACAAGACUGUUAAAACAGUUUAAAGUUCCUGUAUUUCAAAAAGUCAUUGUAAUUAAAACAUAUUUUUAACUA